rnacentral:rRNA from 1 species
CGUAGGCGGUAGCUUAAUAUGGGUAAAAGACUGAGGUAGGUCCUCUUAAUUCUCAUUAUACUGGCUAACUGAGUUCUAAAGGCGAUAUAUUGAACCCACAAGUAAGGGUAAAAUCUGUUGAUCUUGGAGGACAUUCGAAAGCGAAAGCAUUUAUCGAUUUAGAUCUGACGCUAAGGUACAAAGUGUGGGGAUCAAAAAGGAUUAGAGACCCUUGUAGUCCACACUUAAACCAUGAGUGUUCAACAUCCUUUAACAAGGUAAGGCAAAGUUUAUAUAAACAAUGUACUUCAACCAGAAGUUUAAGGGGAUUUAAAGCUAACGCGAAAACACUCCGCUGGGGAAUGUGGCCGCAAGGUUAAACUCAAYGGAA